UACGGAAGGUGCAAGCGUUGUUCGGAUUGACUGGGCGUAAAGCGCACGUAGGCUGGUUUUCAAGUCGAAUGUGAAAGCCCCGGGCUUAACCUGGGAACUGCAUUCGAAACUGUGAAUCUUGAAUGUUUGAGAGGUUGGUAGAAUUCCAGGUGUAGAAGUGAAAUUCGUAGAGAUCUGGAGGAAUACCGGAGGCGAAGGCGGCCAACUGGCAAAACAUUGACGCUGAGGUGCGAAAGCGUGGGGAGCAAACAGG
rnacentral:rRNA from 1 species